UCCUCUAAGUGGAGGUGUUACAGUUGAGGCUGCUGUGCCUUACUGUGUCAUAAGGUGGCAAAAAGAAAGCGGUGCUGUGAGCCAGUGAACACUCAGAAUGCUUAAUAGCCUGACACU
rnacentral:snoRNA from 1 species